CCCUUACCCGCUGAACUUAAGCAUAUCAAUAAGCGGAGGAAAAGAAACUAACAAGGAUUCCCCUAGUAACGGCGAGUGAAGCGGGAAGAGCUCAAAUUUGAAAUCUGUCUGGUAUCCAGGCCGAAUUGUAGUUUAUAAAAGUGUUUUCGGGGGCAGUCUAGGAUCAAGUCCUUCGGGCCUACGCCUGGUAUAUGCUUCUGCCAGCAGGUCAGCAUCGGUUCGUGCUAGUGUAGAAAGCUAGAGGAAGGUAUCGUAUUUAUACGUAUUAUAGCCUCUGGUGCUGCUCUGGCGUGGAGCGAGGAAUGCAGUCUAGUCUUGGGGAACCUGCCGCCGGGUGAUGCAUGGUUUUGGACAACUUGUUGAUCAUGUUGAGCAUGUUGACCCGUCUUGAAACACGGACCAAGGAGUCUAACACAUAUGCGAGUUUUUGGGUGCUAAACCCGGGAAGCGUAAUGAAAGUAUUAAGGUGGGACCCCGUAAGGGUGCACCAUCGACCGGUCUUGAAGUUUACGGAUAGAUCUGAGUAGGAGCAUAUUUGUUAGGACCCGAAAGAUGGUGAACUAUGCGUGAGUAGGGUGAAGCCAGAGGAAACUCUGGUGGAGGCUCGUAGGGAUUCUGACGUGCAAAUCGAUCUUAAAACUUGCGUAUAGGGGCGAAAGACUAAUCGAACUAUCUAAUGGCUGGUUCCCUCCGAAGUUUCCCUCAGGAAAGGG
rnacentral:rRNA from 1 species